rnacentral:rRNA from 1 species
GACGAACGCUGGCGGCGUGCUUAACACAUGCAAGUCGAACGGUGAAGCGCUUUCCUUUUUGGUUGGUGUGGAUGAGUGGCGAACGGGUGAGUAACACGUGAGUAACCUGCCCCCUUCUUCUGGAUAACCGCAUGAAAGUGUGGCUAAUACGGGAUAUUCUGCGCCUGCUGCAUGGUGGGUGUGGGAAAGAUUGUGCCUUUGGGUGUUUUCGUUGGGGGAUGGGCUCGCGGCCUAUCAGCUUGUUGGUGGGGUGAUGGCCUACCAAGGCGGUGACGGGUAGCCGGCCUGAGAGGGUGGACGGUCACACUGGGACUGAGACACGGCCCAGACUGCUACGGGAGGCAGCAGUGGGGAAUAUUGCACAAUGGGCGCAAGCCUGAUGCAGCGACGCCGCGUGAGGGAUGGAGGCCUUCGGGUUGUGAACCUCUUUCGCCAGUGAAGCAGGCCUGCUCCGUGUGGGUGGGUUGACGGUAGCUGGAUAAGAAGCGCCGGCUAACUACGUG